GCUUAGCCAUAAACCCAGAUAUUUAACACACAAAAAUAUUCGCCAGAGAACUACGAGCAAAACGCUUAAAACUCUAAGGACUUGGCGGUGCCUCAAACCCCCCUAGAGGAGCCUGUUCUAUAAUCGAUAACCCACGAUCCACCUAACCACCUCUUGCCAAUACCGCCUAUAUACCGCCGUCACUAGCUUAACCCUGUGAAGGACAUAAAAGUAAGCGAAAUAGCUAAUAACAGCUAAUAAGUCAGGUCAAGGUGUAGCUAACUGAGAUGGAAGAAAUGGGCUACAUUUUCUAAACUAGAAAUUAUCUCACGGAAAGAACUAUGAAACAAGUCCCACAAGCAGGAUUUAGCAGUAAAUUAGGGUUCCAAAAUACCCAAUUUAAGCCGGUGCUAAGGUGCGC
rnacentral:rRNA from 1 species